rnacentral:tRNA from 1 species
CGCAGCGUAGCUUAACGGUAAAGCGCUUGGCUCAUAACCAAGUCCAUAUGGGUUCGACUCCCGUCGCUGCUA